UGACAGUGCUGUUGUUGACCUUGAAAAUUAU
rnacentral:piRNA from 1 species